GGCGCCGACCUGCCGCAGCCCGCGCCGCCCCCGCCCCCGCCGCCCGCCGCCCGCCGCCCGCCGCCCGCGUGAGGAGGUCCCCGCGGCCCGGAAGACGCGGGCGGAGCCGUGAAGUCACCUGACCCUCCGGCGCUGCGGGGGGACUCCCGCGAGAUGUCUUACUAUUGGAGCGUCGGACAGUAGCAGAUGUCGCGAGACUCCGGGAUCCAAGUCCGUCCGGGGCGACCGAGUAGUCUCCGUCUGUGGGCGAGUAGUUGGUCACCUUAGCGGUGUGAGGGUGGACGGUGGAAAUGCUCAUCUAUCUCCUUACCUCAGAAGGGCUCCUGUCCUAUCUCACACUUGAAGAAGUCCAUCUGAAGCAAGGCUGCAGCUCCCUGCCAUGAUGCUACAUAUUCCUGCAUCUCUCCUCACUAGUGACUACUUUCCUGUUUAAAUUCAAAGUCAAUGGGGCGCCUAGGGGGCUCAGUGGUUGAGUGCCUGCCUUCAACUCAGGAUAUGAUCCUGUGAUCCUGGGAUCUAGUCCCGCAUUGGGCUCCCUGCAAGGAGCCCGCUUCUCCCUCUAUGACUCUGCCUCUCUCCGUGUGUCUCAUGAAUAAAUAAAAUCUUAAAAAGAAAUUCAAAAUCAAGUCUAUGCCUGGAUUAAGUUCAGGUUCUCAAAGGUAUCCCCUUCUUUCUUGCUCUCUGGAAAACUAAUUAUUGACUAGUAAGUAACUGCCAAACUGCAUCGUAUUUUUUAAAAUUUUAAUCUUUAUUGAACAAUUUUCCAGAGGGAGGGGCAAGGUGGUGGAAGAGUAGGGUCCCCAAGUCACCUGUCCCCACCAAAUUACCUAGAUAACCUUCAAAUCAUCCUGAAUAUCUACGAAUUCGGCCUGAGAUUUAAAGAGAGACCAGCUGGAAUGCUACAGUGAGAAGAGUUCGUGCUUCUAUCAAGGUAGGA
rnacentral:lncRNA from 1 species